UACGAAGGGGGCUAGCGUUGUUCGGAAUCACUGGGCGUAAAGGGCGCGUAGGCGGCCGAUCAAGUCGGGGGUGAAAGCCUGUGGCUCAACCACAGAAUUGCCUUCGAUACUGAAGAUCUUGAGACCGGAAGAGGUAAGUGGAACUGCGAGUGUAGAGGUGAAAUUCGUAGAUAUUCGCAAGAACACCAGUGGCGAAGGCGGCUUACUGGUCCGGUUCUGACGCUGAGGCGCGAAAGCGUGGGGAGCAAACAGG
rnacentral:rRNA from 1 species